rnacentral:rRNA from 1 species
AUGCCCUGCUUCCAGGAAAAGCCUCUAAGCAUCAGGUAACAUCAAAUCGUACCCCAAACCGACACAGGUGGUCAGGUAGAGAAUACCAAGGCGCUUGAGAGAACUCGGGUGAAGGAACUAGGCAAAAUGGUGCCGUAACUUCGGGAGAAGGCACGCUGAUAUGUAGGUGAAGUCCCUCGCGGAUGGAGCUGAAAUCAGUCGAAGAUACCAGCUGGCUGCAACUGUUUAUUAAAAACACAGCACUGUGCAAACACGAAAGUGGACGUAUACGGUGUGACGCCUGCCCGGUG